rnacentral:tRNA from 1 species
GGCUGUGUAGCUCAGUUGGUUUAGAGCGGCCGGUUCAUACCCGGCAGGUCGAGGGUUCGAAUCCCCCCGCAGCUACCA